AUGACACCAUUACCUCAUCCUCUUCGCUCAGUAAAAAAAACGCCGUUGUGGGAGCAAUCUGGACAGUGUGUCACGAAAACGCCGCUUCGUUUGUGUCGAUGUGAGGAAGGAAACAUCUACAAUCGAGGUUUUUGAUCUAGAAUGUGAGAUGGGAUCUGAACUUCAACUGAAUCUAAAGUCUGCACUGCUCGGACUUUACCGUGGACGCUUGCUUCCCGUUCCGCAGUUGGUGAUGACCAACCACCAGAUGUUUGGGCUCCAUGGGAAGCUCCAUCUCUCCAGAAACGGUGGUUUUGGAAUCUCACAAGGGUAGUUUCCUUACCGCAUGUGCGGGCUAAGGUGUGUCAGAGGCAACCUGGAAUCAUUCAUCACUCUUUCAGAUUCCUCGUCCUGUUGACGCGACAUUGAAGAAGCCAACGACAGUUAGUCAACUCCUUUGGACCCAUCUACAAGCUGGAGCAGCAGCAGCAUAUCCCACCUUCUUCUUAGCUUCCAUGUGCAUGUAUCUGGCAUUGGAGGGUGCUGUUGUUGGAUCUGUGGACCAUCUCGAUUAGAUCGGUAACAGAUUCACCGCAUGCUUCCGCAUUUUGCAAUGCGAUCGACUUGGCGUUAUGCCGUGUGGAGAACCUUUAUCGAUAGAACAAUGCUAGACUCAGUUGCUUUGGUGAAAAUAAUCCAGUUGUCGUUGCUAGAGGAUUUAUUAUGAGGAAGUAUUAUUACAAGAGGAGUUUAAUGACAUUGAAAUUAGUACAUUAAUCACUGCAUUGUUUUAAAUUACACAAGAGCUAUUUAUUUCGAAACUUUCUGUAACAUCAU